CUUUUACGUAGGCCUUCGUUGAUCGUACGGUAGUGUGGUAGGUAAGCGUCAGUGUUGCGGGCGAGUACCGGAGCAAAAGAUGGAGGCGCAGGCCGAGUUAAGAGUUUUAAUAGUGUGAAGCCAUCUUAGUGUAGCGCUUAGAGUGCUGAGAGUUGAAAGCUUGCACGUGGGAAAUGUGCGGCCCGACCGCCACAUGUACUGAGAUUGGGUCGUGACGGCCACAGGCUCCGAGUUUUGGCGUGAGGGGAACGCUGAUCGGCCACGGGUGCCGCGCUUGCUGGCCUGCGGCAUGUACCUGAACGGCGGCGGAAAAACCACACUUAAUUGGGGCGCAGGAUUAGUUUUAAGAGCAAGGGGCCUUUACUAAAAUGGCGAAGACCUUCCGUCGGCGUUGUUUUAAAACGGGCAGCCUCAACCCUGUAUUGAGACUGAGCUGUUCGAAGGCGGCUUUGUGUGCAAUUCGGAUUAAUGAAGGGGAAAGGUUUUGUGUGAAAAAACACCUUGGAGUGUGACGUUUCUGCGAGAAUGCUUAAAUAUCGGUUUCCCGCAGGAACAAUGGCGCUGUCGUGGCACAGCAGAGCAGCUCUGAAGAUGCAAAGAUACAUGAAAGAAUUCCAGAAUAUGCUGGAGAGUAUUUAAUGGAAAACCGCUUGGUUAAAACCUGACACUCUUCAUGGCAUUCUGGGUGUGGACGAUCAGCCAGUGAAGAUAAUGAAUGUCGGAUGUCACUGACUAGCAGCUUCAUUUUGAAUGAGGGUCGCUGUCUGCCCAUUGAUAAGAGGCCGGAUUGUCUUGGAAGUUCCAAAGUUGCAACGAUUUCUGGCUAGUGCCACGAGGUUUACUUGACUGUUGUAUGAAAAGCUGAUGAGAAAACCAUCCAGAAAAAAGCUCUUCGUUUUACAAACACGAAAAUAAAACAUGUAAUUUUGGA